GAAAGUUUUUAAAAUUAAACUUCUAAUUUAAUUAAAAGCAUUAAUAUGUUAAACUUUUA
rnacentral:tRNA from 1 species